rnacentral:rRNA from 1 species
UACGUAGGGUGCAAGCGUUAAUCGGAAUUACUGGGCGUAAAGCGUGCGCAGGCGGUUAUGUAAGACAGGUGUGAAAUCCCAGGGCUUAACCUUGGAACUGCAUUUGUGACUGCAUAGCUAGAGUACGGUAGAGGGGGAUGGAAUUCCGCGUGGAGCAGUGAAAUGCGUAGAUAUGCGGAGGAACACCGAUGGCGAAGGCAAUCCCCUGGACCUGUACUGACGCUCAUGCACGAAAGCGUGGGGAGCAAACAGG